rnacentral:lncRNA from 1 species
ACACUAUGUGGUGGUUACUGUACCACGUAGGACAGCCCAGCUAGCGAAGUCCCUGGGGUUAGUGAACAACACACAAAAAUAAGGUUAUAUCCAUCCUCAAAGUGAAUAUGGGCAGGAGAGAAUCUGACAGCGGCAGAGGAGUCUGAAUUGGGUCAUGCACAGACACAAAGAGAGGAGCCCGUGGGGAAUACACAUCCUGGCGUUUCUGAUUUCGCACGAGAUCAGCUGAGAUUCGCUUAGUCUGGAGCAGCUCUCCACAGAAAAGGGCCUGGGGAGCUUUUUCUGCACACAGACUCCUGUCUGUGUCUCUGCCUGGGCCCAAGAGAAGUGAAGGAACAGAGGGGGUGGCUGCUGGAGGAGUUGGGACUUCUCAGACAGCUGCUCCCGUGGGUUGGAGUGCUAGGAGGGCUUGCUUUUCUGAAGCCUGAUAGGGUUGCUCUUUUGAGUUGAGGGAGAGGCCCCCCCCCAACCUUUUUUAUUCUCCUUGGAGUUUCUCUAGGGUCUCAGACCAGAGACACAUGACCGAUUCUAACCAUCUUCUCUGCAAAGAAGGCCAUGGGCCCACCUGUCUCUAAGACUAAUAGAGCCCCCUUCUCCUCACCUGAGAUUGGGAGACCUGGGGAGGCUCUAUGUGUGUGUGUGUGUGUGUGUGUGUGUGUGUGUGUGUGUGUGUGCACAUGCAUGUGUGUGCAUGCAGGAUGGGACAUCUAACUACCCACUGAAGAUUUGCUUCAAGUCCCGCCCCCAGUGUAUAUUCCCUAAAACCCAUUCCUGCCCCAUCUUCCCCCUGCCUUUCCCCCAUCUCCUUUGCCUUAAUUCCCCCCACAAUCCCUUUAGGUCUGUUUCUUUUCCUCCAACUGUUCACCCUCAACAAAGACAUGUAACUGAGAACCAUUCCCAGAGAAGACGGCCCAUCUUCCUUUCUUAAAAAGAUCAGUUGCCUGAUUUCCUUUGGGACCGCUGCCAUAUUUCUUUUAUAUUUCAUUCAUUCUCCAGACUCAGUGAUAAGGACAGGAACUAUUUAAAGGGGAGAAGGGAGGUUCUCCUUAAGGACCUAAUCAAAGGACAAGAUGAACGGUGCCUGCCGGAGAGAACGAGACAGCGUGGGAUGAGGGCGGGUGCCACGGUGGAUGUGCAGGGAUGUUCCCGUGAGCCCAGCAGGGUCUGGUGGGAAGAGCUCUGGUUAGGAGCCCAGGGAACUAGGUUAAAGUUCCAGCAUUGCAAAGACCUCCCAAGAGACCUCAGGCUAGUUGCUUCCCUCUCAGAGCACGAGUUGACUCACCAUGCAAUGGAUGGAAAGGCCAGAUUCACUCAUCUCUAAAUUGCCUUCCAGCUUGAAUUAUAAAUUCUGUGGGGAUGGAAAUGGGCUAAGGAAUUGAAUUUGGUUUCCUUGUGGUUAGCAACUUUUUUUUUUAAGUUACCGUUUCUUAAACAUCUCCUAAAGAUUACCAACAACACAUAUGUAAGUUUUUCUAAGCAUUUUACAUAUAUGGAUUCGUUGCCUUCCACAACAAUCCUAGGACAUAGGUACCAUUAGUAUCCCCAUUAUACAGAUUAAGAAACUGAGGUACAGGGAGGCUAAGUAACCAGCCCAGGCAGUGGAGCCGGGGUUCAAACCAGGCAGUCUGGCUGCAAAGUCCCUCUUCCUCACCACCACACUCAACAUUCCAGGCACUGUGCUAACUGUUUACACAAAUCCUCUCCAUUUUGCAGUUGAGAAACCCAAGACUCAGACCAGUUGGGCAACAGCUGAAGGUCACAUAGCUGGGAAGCAGUAGAGAUGAGAUUCAAAGUCGGCAGAGCUCCAGAGUCUCUGCUCUCCCCCACACCCUCCUGCAACCCUGCCAGACGCUCAGGCUUCCAAAGCAAGUUUAACCAAUAUCCCUGCAUUGCCACGCCUCUUCAGGCAAGUCAGCUUCUCCCCGCUGGGCCUCAGUUUCACCAUCUAGAAAAUGACUGGGGGAUUGGCCCAGCUGAUCUUUGAGGUCCCUUGGAGCUCUGUGAGUCUGUGAUGAGAAAGGUGUGGUGCUUCUAGCUGAAAGGGAAGACCUGUGGCCUGGGAAUACCUUGGGCUUGGCUUGGGGUUGCAGCCAGCAAGGAUGAGGGAGAUGAGGGCCUGGGGAUGAAAUGAAAAGGAAAUUUCAGGUGACUGGAGAAGGCUUAUUGGCUGUGAACCUGGGAAGAGGGUUCAGAUGUAUGAAGCAGGUAAGAAAAGAAGAGAGAAGCCCUGGGUGGGCCUCCCAGGGGGCCUUUUCCUUCUUCCCAGGGGUCACCCCAAGCUCAAGAUGGGCACAUGAGAGCCUCGGGCAAGGGAGCAGGGAUCAGGCCAGCACUGAACCGAGGUCAGAACUUCUGAGACACAGCAGUUCGAGGGAAUUGACAUUGCUGGGGGUUUUGUUUUCUCUGUAAAUAUUUGGAGAUGUCCAGUUAUUCUAGAAAAAUGUAUCUGCAGCUGAGGGGGCGCAUUUGUGCGGCUGGCCUGGCUGCCUUUUGCAUGACUGCUCUGUUACAUUCUUCCCCUUCAGGAACCGAGGGUUGUUUUCCCAUCUGUAACCUCAUUAGGAUGUCCACACCAGCGGGCUCCACACGCACAUGCGCUCCGGCAGGUUCCCCUCGGGGACACACACGCACACUGGCAUUGCCCCCUGGCCACACGCUCACGCACACAGUCGCAGCUGUGCCUUUUAAUAUUUAAUGCCAUUGCUGCAAACGCCGCUCCACGCUGACUGCAUCCGUGCCAGGCUCAUUCCUCUCAGGGCGCCAAUUCCCGGCUUGGAGACCAGCUGACAAAUCUUGUUAAAAACCUUCCAGCCCAGUGCAUCUCUCGGAGGAGGGUAAUGUCACGUGCUUGCGAGAUGAGCGAAUGGGUGUCAUUACCAGGCAGCUCCAUUUUCAACGAGGCUCUUUCCACUUGGGGAAAUGGAUGGAAUCACCUAUUGCGUUGGACUGACCUGCUCUCUGGCUUGCAGAAGUCACGGCUCUGGGUGGCACCAAGGCACGAAAUGACACGGACACCUGGCCUGUGUGGGGGCCUUUGUCUGUCCCUCUCUCCCUGCUCCUCCACAGUCAGUAUCCACACUAUGGUUUGAAUGUAUGUAUCUUUCCGACAUUCAUAUGGUUGGAACAUAAACCCCAAGGCAAUGGUAUGAGAAGUUGGGGGGGGCCUUUGGGAGUUGAUUAGGUCAUGAAGGCUCCACCCUUGUGAACGGGAUUAAUGCCCUUAUAGCAAUAAAAGAGCAGGAGGGAACUAGUUAGGCUCAUUGUGAUCUUCCACUCUUCUACCACAUGAGGACACAGUGUUUGUCCCCUCCAGAGGGCAUGGCAAGGCCCCAUCUCGGAAGCAGAGAGAGUCCACACCAGACACUGAAUCUGUUGGCGUCUUGAUCUUGGACUUCCAAUCCUCUAAAACUGUGAGAAAUACAUUUCUAUGGUUUGUAAAUUACUCCAUCGGUGGCAUUUUGUUGUACCAGCAGGAAGGGACUAUGACAUACACCACGGAGGCCACUGCUGCUACAGUGGCUAGCAGAGAGGAUCAUGGGUGGUUCCAGCUCUCAUGCCAGCAAAGGGUCUCAUCCCUGACCCCUAGUCCAGUAUGCUGUGGUCUCCAAGCCCACAGAAAGGCCCUCCCUCCAAACCCCAGCUUUCAGAGUCUAAGGGGCUGACAAAAGGUUAAGGGCUCUAGUUCUGGUCUGAGCUGGGACAGGUGAGCAGGCUACUGUGCAAGAGCUGCUAAAUGCAGAGUCCCCAGGUAUCGAGGUUACCCGGAAAAGUUGGCCUUCCCAAAGCUGCAGUAGGAUCAGCAUGUCCGGUUCAGUGCUGACUGUGCAGGCUUGGGGCCUAUCCCUUGAACUCUGGAAGGGUAUUUGCAAGAUGGACCUCCUGUCCUCAUCUUCCUUCUACCUUUCAGCCUCUUGGUCCUGUGUCACCAGACGGGCUCAGAGCAUUCCUGAGCAACUUUGUGGUUCUGAGCGUCUCUAAGAAACGAGGCCUGGGAGAGGGCAGGGAGGAGGGGAGAGGGGACGGUCAGGUGGGGUGUGGGGGAUUGCAAAACAAAGACACGCUCAUUUGCCAUUUACCAAAGACUUUUUUUUUCUUUUUCUUUUAAAGCUGUUGUUUCCUCAAGGGAAAACUUUAUCUGUGUGUGGGUAAAAUGUUGCUCUCUUAACGAAUCGAAAGCAGAACAUGAGGAGAGGUUUUCAGUCCCUGUGACAAAGAACAAAGAACAAGCUCGUGGGCCUUGGGCGGCCACUGUCACCCUCCCCGCCCCUGACAUUUCCCUUGUCCUCUCCUCCCAUCCCAGUGGAGCCAAGAGCUGAGUGCAUGUCAUCCCCACUCUGGAGCCCAGAGUGUGGCUUUGAUCACGCGGAGGCAGCUGGCCUGGCCUGCAGGAAACACCACACUCUCCCCUGUUGAGAGCCUGGGAGGGCGACGCGGCAAGUGAGGGGAUGAGUGUGCUUUUAGGGCGGCGUGGCAGCUGCCAUUCCCGCUGGCUUGGAGGACAGUGAAGAAAACGAUGGAGGGAGGGGUUCAGAGAGUUUGUUUGACCAGCUGAUGUCCGCUUUUCCUCACCAAGCCAAGAAGUCUCCCCACUAUCUCUGGUCUUGGAGAUAAGGCCUGGUUUUCGGAAGAGCUGGUCUGAGCAUUUGAGUCUGUGGGAGGCCAGAAGGUUCAUUCAGAGGACUCUUCAGGCCACUCCCACGCCCCUUGCACUCACCCUCCUUGGCCCCUUCACUCCAGCAGGUGGGAACAGUUUCUGGACUUUCACUUUCAGUUUUUGGUUUAGGGGACAAUAGCCUCUGUUUCCCAGUGUUGUCUGUCUGGUGUUAGCUUAUCAGCCCUGUCUUUUUUUGGCAUUGGUUGAGGUAGCUGGGAUUGGGGUGAAGCUAUCUUCUGGAGCAGGGGCUUGCACUCUGAGGGGAGAGCUGCUUUUCCCUGAGCAGCUUUUGGCGGGGGGAUGUCCUGAGUCAUUGCAUCUGCUCCCUAUCCCCACCCCAGGGACCCUGGGAGAGGUCCCUCUAGUCCAGGCAGAAGAGUCGCCUAUGGGGAGAAGGUGGUGGUGGUCUCGGCCUCCACACUCAUGGAGGAGCGCCGGAUGUGCCGACAGGAAGACCACUGCCGGAGCUGCUCCUGGCUGAGGCAGCCCAGGUCCUUGAAGAGCUUGAAGAGAUCGUUGCGGAACUUGACGCCGAUGAAGGCGUACAAGAAAGGGUUGACGCAGCAGCGGACGCAGGCCAGGCUGUAGGUGACGUCGUAGGCGAUGUUGAGUUGCUUACUGAGCUCACAGGUGCUACUGGUGAUGUUGAAGUUGGCCACCGUCUGGGCCAGGACCACCCCAUUGUAGGGCAGCUGGAAGACUAUGAAGACCACGACCACAGCGAUGAUCACCUUGAUGGCCUUGUUGCGCUCAAAGUUGCGUGCCUGGAGCAGGGUGCGGAUGAUGACAAGGUAACAGAAGCUCAUGGCCAGCAGGGGGACCAGAAAGCCGAUCACCAUCUGGGCCACCUGGAUGGUGAUAAAGGCCUCCACAUGCUCUGUGAUGAGAGAGCAUCGCAUCGCUUGCUCACUGCUGCUCCUCUGGAGGUCACUGUACAGGAGCUCUGGGAUGGAGAGCACUGUGGCUAGUAUCCAGAUGCCCACACAGGACAGCUUGCUGAUGAGAAGGACGCGGGCACGGUGGCGGUGAGCUGAGACAGCCUGGACGAUGGCCACGUAGCGGUCAAUGCUGAUGCAAAGAAGUAGGAGCAUGCCACUGAAGAAGCUCAUCUUGUAGAUGGCAAAGAUGAGCUUGCAAAAGUGGACACCGAAGACCCAGGACUUGGCCGCGCUGUAGGCCCAGAAGGGAAGGGUCAGGAGGAAGAGGAUGUCUGCCACCGCCAGGUUGAGCAGGUAGGUAUCGGUCAUGGUCUUGAGCCUCUUGAAAUAGAUAUAGGUCAACACGACCAGCCCAUUGCCCAGUAGGCCCACGAAACAAAUGAUGGAGUACAUGAUAGGGAGGAACCAGGCUUUAAAGUUCCGCACGUCCUUCUUGGAGCACAAAGACUCGAACAAAGUGUAGUCCACUGUGGUGUUGUCUCCGAUGUAAUCGUCCGUGACCUCAUCUUGACACAGGCAUACCUUCGGGGAAGGAAAUGAGGGAAAACAGGCCAGUUUAGCUGGGUGGCUCCAACUCUGGCUGGGAUUUAGCCUAGAGCAGUGGUUUCUUUCUUUUUUUUUUUUCUUGAGACAUGGUCUCACUCUGUUGCCCAGGCUGGAGUGCAGUGGUGCAAUCAUGGCUCCCUGCAGCCUCGGCCUCUCCAGGCUCAGGUGAUCCUUCCACUUCAGCCUCCUGAGUAGCUGGGACCACAGCCUUAUGCCACCACACCCAGCGAAUUUUUGUAUUUUUAGUAGAGAUGGGAUUCUGCCAUGUUGCCCAGGCGGGAGGAAUAGUGGUUUCAUCGUGAGGUCCGCAUCAUCAGUAUCAUAGCAUCACCUGGGAACUUGUUAGGAAUGCAAAUUCUCAGGCCCCACCUGAGAAUUCUGAACCAGAAUCUCAAGUGAUGGGUCUAGGAAUCUGUGUUUUCCUAAAGUCUCCAGGUGAUUCUUUGGUUUUAAAUCAGUGCUUCUCAAAUUUUAACUCCAAUACGCAUCACCUGAUUAAUCCUGUGAACAUGUCUAUCCUGAAUCAGUAGGCUAAGGUGGGGCCUGAGAUUCUACAGUUCUGCUAGUAAGUAGCAAGUGGCUGAUUUUGCCAAGUCUGAGAGACUCUACAUGUGCUGACAGGGGACUGGAAAUCAGCUGGGCUCUGGGGCCAGAUGAGCCUUGAGCUGGUUAAACUCUUUCUGUCUCUCUCUCUCUCUCUCAGAGCCUCAGUUUUCUCUUCUGUGAAAUGGAGAUGAAUCCUAUUUGCUUCCCAUGGUUGCUGUGAGGUACCUAGCCCAGGCUCCAGCACCAUUUCCUCUCCAUGGAGCUUUAAUUUUGCCCCCUGGAAGCUCCGUGAGAGAGGGAACAUGUGUCUUUCUUCUUGACCCUCCUUUAGAACUUGGUGGAGUUUUCCAGGGGGCUUACAAAAGACCUCAGCUUUAGGGGGAAAAUCCACCUGGGGGUCAAGGUUGAGGAGGGCCUGGAGUAAGAAGAGAGGAAGGCAAAUGCUCCCAUUUUGAGGCCAUGAAGCCUUGGGUUUGGGGCAAACUGCUGUGAUCAUGGGUGGUGGGUGACCUGGAGAGACUCUAGAUCCUGGGUCCCCUCUUAGCACCCAGCAGGAGCUCAGGCAACGUGAGCCCAAGUGCCAUAAACUCCGUGAAUGGAUGAUGGGCCAUGGGGGUGGGGGCGAGGACUCCUCAGCAGCUGUGUCCCUGGAAGGAAGCGCAGCUCUCAUCUCCCACUCUCCCUCUGUGCUCCCGCCCUCUCCCCCCACCUCUCUGCCUCUCUCUUCCUCGCAUCUCUUCCGGCAGAUCCCAAUCAGCAGGACUCAGCUGCUGGAGCUUUUUUUAGCCGUCUGCAGGGUCGGGUGAAGGUUCAGCAGCCUGCUGUGAUUUUAUCAAUGAAGGAGGGGGUCCAUGCCUGCCCCUGCCUCUGCGCACAGCGAUGGACGGGUUUGUGCAGGGCAGGGAGCUGGGCUGGAGGACCUGCCUCACGAGGCUCAUGGUUCUAUCACCAGGAACCAGAUUCAGCAGCUCAGCGACGGUGGGUUUCUAUCCAUUUAUGCUGGAGGGAUUCACCGCAUCUUGUCUCUAUCUCUUUUUCACACCCAGGUUCUGGAUUCAUCACUGUCCUGCUUGGGAACAUGGUGAGGACAAAAUGAUGUCCAGGAGCCUUUUCUUUGGCCAUUGCUAGCCUGAGACGAAAAGUCAGUGGCAACCCCUCUUCCCUUUCCUGGGCAUGGCUGCAGCCUGGGAGCCCUGAAGGAGGCUGCUGCCUUUGGCCCAGCCAUGGUUACGGCCCAAGGCCUUAGACCCGGGGUCCCUGGACAUGAGGGGGUCUCAGCCUUCCUGGAGGGCAGUACUCCCGGCCUCUAUGAAGUGCACUCUGCAUCAUCCAGUCCUGCCUUCCCUUCUCCCCUUGAACCUUGUUCCUGUUUUAUAAUUCUCCCUCCCCUAGCCUCACUGCCUCUGCAGCCCACAGCCCCACCACAUCCUGCCCUAUCUGAGCACCCCCUCCCCAAGUGAAAGGGAAGAAUGAGCCUCAGCUGUCCUCCUCCCCUUCCCACCCUUCCAGCCUCCACUGCCAGCAAUACAGCCCCCCAGAGUCCUGGAGACAGGGGAGAGAGAGGAGGGAGUGGUGAUGGGGAAGGGGGCCAGGCUAUGGGCUGCAGCCCAGGCUCCGGGGGGCCUCUGGGAUGGGGUUUUGGGAACAGUGCCCAGCUUGGGGCCUGCCUCUGGCCUGAGCUUCUGGAAAGCUGCCCCUCUGGCCUCCAGACCUGGGGAUGAGCCGAAUUCUGAAGCACUGCCUCUCUAGCUCUGGCCUCAGUUGGACUCCCCUACCCCUACUCUGAGCUCCCACCUCUAACAAAUGGGAGAAAGUUGACUCUGCGAGUUACAGUUUCUUCUAACUUUGGCACUUGGUGAGGCACACUUUCUGUCUGUUUCUGGAUGGAGAAACAGAACUUUGUAAAGUGAGGGUCUUUGUUCCUGCCGAGUUCAGGCCUGCUAUAAAGUGUGUGCUCAUCCACCCCUCUCCCCAUCCCUAGGGCCCCAUCCUCUCUUCCCUCCCCUGCCAGGGAGGCCGGAUGGGUCUCUAUUUCACCAAAGAAAACGGGGGCUGCGAGGGAAGCCUUUGGGUGAAGGUUGGAAAGAGACAACUUUGGGGCGAUAGGAUAGUAACAAGAUCGCCAGAUCCAGGGUGAUUUUCUCAGCACACGUGCACAAAACCCAGUAACAUUUUUUGCUUUUUGCAGCUCUUCUCUCUCUAAGAACUCAGAGUCCAUAUUUCUGUCUCCUGGGCAGGGAGAUUGGAGGUGGGAUAGGGAAGGUGGUAAGUUAUUUUCCCCCAUGUUUUAACCUAAAUGGAGUAAAGGAAGUCCAGAGAACAUCUGUGGCUCUCCAGGGUCACUCAGCAGAUGGUGAGGGGGCAGCCAUUAGCUUAAUGAGUGGCAGGCGGGCUUAUGUCUGGGUCUUGUAUCUUCUAGCAAAUGCCCAGCUCCUCCACUAAACCCCUGACUUGGGAGGCCGUGUGGAGAAGGGAACAGAGCUUUCCUUGGCAGAGAACCUCACCUGGAAAAUGACAAGGAGAGCCACCACCAGCACGCUUUUCAUUGGUUUCCCUGUAGGAGACAAGGCGAGAAAGUUAUUGCUUGGCAGGGACAAGUCUUUGUUAUUAAAGAAAGCAGUGGAGGGGGAGACGCUGUUGGGAACUUUCCUCCCAAGCUCCAGGCACUGUGUUUGCUGAAAGAGAACAUCAGAACCAGAUUGUGCCUUUGAACACCUGGCCUGCUGCCCGGCAUCACUGUCCUCACCUCCUUCUUGUCCUCCUCCACUCCCAGGUCCUGGAAAGAAGCAGCAUCAGAAUGCAGGGCAGCCCCUCCCACCCCCUGUCUUGGCCCAUCUGGGCUGCUUCUUGGAGCUGGGAAGUCUUCUCUAGCCCAGACCACCCCUCAAGACUGAGCUUGGUUGGUGGGUCUGAGUGCCCCCUCCCACUCCACCUGAUGUGGGAUGAGGCGGCAAAGCUAUGAGGUCGUGGGGUAGGUGCACACGUUUCCAGCCCUGCUUUGGUGCUGGUAGCCACUGGCCCAGGAGCAUUUUCCUGGCAUCCAGGUGAGUGCGCAGCCACACGUGCAUGAAGCCAAGCCUGAGUGUCUCCUGAGGGAGGUGGGCUGAGGAAGGAGGAUGACCUCACAGGCUGGGUAGAGGGAUGAGGUUCCUUACUGGUCCACAGCGAUGGAGACUGCCUCAGGGCUCCACCAGCUCCACAACACCCCCUCACUGAAAUGACAUUCAUUCAGCACUGACUGUUGGUCCACUGGGCGCACACCCUUGGCCUGCCUUUGGGACAGAGAUCCCUUCCCUUUUAUCUUGUGCAGGCCCAGAAUUGAGGAGGUGCCCCACAAUUGUGUGCUGAUGAAUAUAUGAAUGAUAAAUACAUGAAUGAUGAAUAAAUACAUGAAUGACAAGUAAACGAAUGCCUGUCCUUUUUCCAAGGGAGAGGGCAUCAAGAUGGCCCGAGAGGACACAGAAGGGAUGCUGUCCUGUUGCAGUGUGGGGGAAGGACGCUCUUUCCUGAUGUCACGACUUCUUUAUUUUUUUGCUUAACUGAAGUGCCUGCACACACUUUCUCUCCUUUAACUUGUUUUCUAACUUAGGCUUGGGGGGCAGGUGAAAGGGGGAACAGGGUCAGCUUUGGGAAGCGACGUGUUCUGGAAGUCAGGAGGCUUCCUGGGGUCUGAGCAGCUGAUGGGGACCCCGGUGUAGCACAAGGCCCAGAUGUGCUCAGUCUGGUUUUGUGGCUGAGCCUGGGGCCCAGCAGGAACUUAUUUCUUCCUGAGGCUGAGCAGGGAGGACAGUUGACAGAGUAAUUUGCCUAGAUGUUUUAGCUUACCUACAAGUCAGGGCGGCAGUAGCCCUCUUCCCGUAUCCUGACCCUCAGGUCCCAGCUAGGUAGGGCCUGGCCCACUGGAGAGUCAGUAACUGCGAUGCCACAAGUGAAGGCAGGCCCUUGGCAGCUCCAAGCUCAAUAGCGCCAGGAAAUGCGUGGGAACCUGUUUAAGGCACCUUCUCCUGGAGGCUGGGGAAGCAGUGAGAGCCCAGCGCUUCCGUGUCCUUGGCCACAGCACCACCUGCUGGAAGCCUCCCUGCAUGGCACCCAGGUUGCAGUUGGUUAAUGUGUUCCCCGGAAAUUGUGUAAAGCCAGGGAUUCUGGGCUUGGGAGUUCCUCCGGGAAGGAGAGACUGCAUCGGGCUACAUAAAUAAAUAGGUAUUUCUCCCGCCUUGAGCAAAUAGUCCUGCACACUACUGCUAGACACAUCUGCCUAAAGCUUAGCUCUGAUGGCAGUCCCCACCUCACCUUCCUCCUAAAUCCUCAGGGGCUCUAACCGGCCCUGAGGAUGAAGCCCCUGAUGCUUGGCCUGGCAGUCCAGUCCUCCGCUGUCCACUCAAAGAGGGCUUCCUAGCUGCAUUUUCUAUUCUGGGGACAGGCAGCCGCUGUCCCCUCGUUCCCAGCCUGCGCUCGGGCAUUUGUAGUCCUGCUGCGAUUGGACCCUGUUGCAACAGAGCUCCCCACCGCUCAUUCCCCUUUUUCACUGAAUUACCCCUUAGCUCCUGAGUUUAAGUCCACGUUUACGCCCAACCACACUCUUCACGGUUCAACGCUCCACCCGCCCUCCACUGACUCAUCUAGAGGUCGAGUCUCGAGGUUUCUUUAAAACACGUAAGUGUCUUUCGGUUACUCUAGAGAAAGCCCGCUCUGACUGUCAGGGAGAAAUGAGAAACCUCAAAGUUUUGAUAAGUCACAACGGGUGAGAUCUGAGGAGCAAGAACUGUGUUUCUGUUGAACUCUGUUGAUAACCCCUUCUCCCGGACGCUGUCCCACUCCUGCUGUUCCCGUCAGGGGAGGGGAGUUGGGGGAGUGCUGGCGUGUGUGCCUGUGAUUUCUCAUUCCAGGUGUUUUGGAGGAGGUGGAUGAGCAAGGGUCUUGUAGGUCCAAAACAGGUGGCUUUCAAGAAACAUCACAGGGAAACUUAGGGGAACUCUUGUAUGUGGCAAAAGGGAGCCUGGUCAGUGGCCUUGAGUCAGAUCAUCCCUGUCUGUUACAAAGUCAUAAAGAAACUGGUCUUGGGCAGCAGCUUCAGUGAGACCAAUGAAGUUGGGAAUCUCUGGGGCUAAGGAGUGGUUGACCUAGAUGUUGGGUGUUUUCUGAGUUCUUGAGUUUUCAGUAAUGAUCAUCAUGAAAAUUCCCUAGAACUCCAACCGGAGCCCCCAACAUGAGAGACUGCCCAUCCAGGAAAGAAAAUUAUUGGCUGGCUGCCCCCAUCUCCAAACCAUGAACUUCCAUCCCCACAUUUUUCCAGGUCCUCCAGACUGCCCAGGAAAUCACAGUUGCCCAAUCAGCUCGCCCCAAGAGCGACCCCAAGCUUUUUCCUCUUUGAACUUCCUCACCUGCCAACACAACUUUUCUCUCUCUCUCUUUUUUUUUGGAUAAGGGAGGCAGAGGAGAAGCAGGGAGGUGGUGAGAGGUCUAGAGAUCUGGGGAAUCCACUUUCAGACAGUAGGCAGGGAUGGGUGAGAGCCUGGUAGACCUUGCAUUUUCUAUGUUAUCAACUGCUGUAUCCAAUGAGAUAAUUCAUAUUCACUGAGCUCUCACUGCGUGCCACACUGUCUGCAUGUAUGGUCUCAUUUCAUCCUCUCAAAAGCCCCAUGAGGUAGGCGCUACUAUUAUCCCCAUUUACCAAUGAGAAACUGAAACACAGCAAGUAACUUUCUCAGAGUCACACAAUGGCCAGCAGGGGAGCAGGCUUUGAAACCCUCCAACUCCAGCAACCACACUCCUAACCAUCCUUCUGUGCGGCCACUGGGUCUGUAUGUGUCUCUCCCUCAUAACAUCUCAUGAGCUACCCUGGUGAUCCUCAUCUUAGAUUCCAGAAAAUAGAGGCCCAGAGAGAUUAAGCCAAAUGCCUGGGGCCACACAGCUGCUAAGAGAGGGACCUGAGAUUUGAACAGGAUAGCAAGGUUUGGGCUCUGGCUACUGCAUCAGGCUGUGUUUCUGAUGAGCCUGCUGCAUCUAGGACGCUCCACGGAGCAUGAGGGGAAUCUUUGCUCCCCAUGCCCCACUGGCCACCAGUGCUUCCUGCUUCCAUCCCCCAACAUCCCGGCCCCCAAAAGAGCCGGCCCCACCUCUGUUCUGACACGGGCUUUGCUGCCUCUUUGCUGCCACAGAACUCCUUCCAAAACACAAAUCUCAUCCUUUAAUUCACCUACUUGAAAAAUAAAAAUCUUUGAUGGGUCCCCAUUGUUUUCAGGAUAAAGUUCAAAUUCCUUAGGGAUGCCGUACCACGUUUUAAGGAUUGGGUCUCCUGUGCCUGCGUCCUUCCUCCUCAUCUUCCUCCUUGGCAUGGCCAGCUACUCCACCCUCCCCUCCGCUUGCUUCUUUCUUGUCUCUGUUACUGUUGUCUCAGCUGACCAUCUACACGGCUGCAGCCUUAGUCCCCAGGACACUCUGCUUGUCAGCAUGGAGUUUUUGAAAUAAUAGAUUUGAAUGCCUUUAGGUGGGGCAUGCACCCUCUGGGUCACUCUACUCCCCUCCACUUCCUGCACCUUAUGCCCAUUCCCUCUAUUACCUUGUCGGCCUCUGAUGGCAAUGGAGUUUGCCAUUCCUGCCACAUCCUGGGCCCAUUGCAGCUCCUUGUUGGGCUUGACAACUCCUACACACCCUUGAAAACCCACCUUAAAUACCUCUCUGACCCAGGUUCACUAUUCCCUUCUUGUCUUGCCCUUGCCCUGGUCAAUGCUGUAUCUUAUUCUGUUGCAGUGGCUUUGUGACAUAUGUGUCACUCUCCCCACCAGACUGGUCAUCCCUGAAUCCCUCAAACAAUGAGAGUUGCCUGAAUGUCCGAAGCAAAGAGGAGAGAUUUUUUCCAACAGCGACCCCAGGCUGCAGCGUUCCUCUCCUCCCCAGCCAAGUUUCUGGCAGGCAAGAAACUGGCCCUGAAUUAGCUUCAGCAUCCCCCUUUGCCACCAUUUAUGUCCGAGCUGUGAGGCACACAUCUCUCAUGGGUUCAUUUUUUCCUUGCUUUGCUUUUGAGAAUUAUGAAAGAUCUUCGGUCUCAUUGCUCGAAGGUGGGGAGGGUGCCUCAGAGCUGCUCAUUCAAACCGUGAAAAAGGCCAGCUCAGCCCUGCUUGGGAGUUUUCAUUUUGUGUAACAGAAACCCUCCCUCCUCACCCACCUCUUGCUCCUUGCUGGGCAGAUGAAGAGCAGAACAACAGAUCCUCCAAGGCCCACCCACCCCAUCAACGGCCCAGAGAGCCCGUUUUGAGUAAAGCUUGUCAGCGGCUUCCCCUCCUACCAGUAUUUCGGGUUUGACCGUUGGGGCUCUCUCAAGUUGAGUGAAGUGGCAAGAAUAUCCCUUCUUCCUGGACCAGAGAUUACCCUCUCUCCCUGCAUCAAAGCCUAGGAGUCUAGCACCCCUAAACCUAGUCUGGGGUAAGACACUCUGCACAUCUUCCCAACCCCCUGUUCAGUCAUGUAGAUGGCUUGAAAUCAAUCAGCCAGGGUGGGAGAAUUUACACCAUGGAAAUUGGCAAGCACUACAAAUUCAGGACUUUCCCUCCACCCUGGAGUCAGCUACCAGUGCUCCACCCCGGGGAGCUGCUUUUCAAAUGCCCAGUAGCACACCACUGGGCACUGCUUGGUUUCCUUCCUGGAGGCCAGUAUGAAAGGCUGGAGCAGGGUCUUCUGUGGGUGACGUCUGUACUGUGGGAUUGUGAUGGGGGGUGGUGGAGGGGGUGCAGGGGAGUGGGAUUUAAGGGUAGAUUGGCUGGGAAAUGAGGCAUUUGGAAGAGAUUUUCAAAAACUAAACUCUACGGAGUUCUUGAUACGGUGUAUUCAUUCAUUCCGCAGACAUUUUCUCCUCACAUCCUCAAAGCACCUGAACCUGCCUUUCAGGAGUUCACAGUCAGUGGGUGGGGUGACCACUUUAACCCUUUCACAGCUGUUUGCUGGGUCCAGAUCCAGCGUUCAGGGCAGGCGGGAAAGUAAGAGAUGAAAUCAAGGAGGCUGUGGUGUGGCGAGGAGGGGUGUGAGGACAGCACCAGGGAACCUUCACUUUUUAAAGCCAACCCUUUGCGGCUUUGAGGCCGCCGUGGUGCAUUGUUUGCUGGUGAGACAAGCCAUCUAGGAACCUGGUCUUCUUAGCCUCAGCCUGGUCUGACUCCACAGCUGAGAUUUAUAAAGGGGGCGUCUGGAGCUGGAUGAACCACUCAGAACACCCUCAGUGCUUCCCCUUGACCCCUUCUAGGUUAGACCUGAGAAAGGGCUUUCUAAAGAGUAGAGUUAUCUGCCGGGGCAGAGUGCGUGAGGUUUGCUCAGGGGCAGGGGCUGUGCUGAAGGCCUGGCUAUGAUUUCUCCAAGCUGAGUGCCCCUUGCCAUCCCAUUCCAUGUUGCCUGCCCGUUCCUUAACUUGCAAGAGGCAACAGCAAAGCCAGAUCAAAGCAGGUGGGAUGUGCAGCAGAGAGAAAGCAACCAGAGCUUGCAUUUGCAAUGCACCGCACCAUUCUCACAACCCAGUCACGUUUCAUUUGCAUCUCCUCAUGACCCCAAGUGGACAGGUAUAUGAAUAUUUGGCAGGGGAGAAAGGUGGGAAUCAGAGAGUGGGUAAAAGGUCCUAAGCUCUCUAGGGAGAAUUUCUCUGUUGAAACCUGUCCCCAGAGGUCCCAGAGGGCCUAACCUAUCACCCUCAUGAUGAGAACAGGUUCUGCCAGACCACCAAGCCCAGCCCCGCCACUCUCUUAUGUCCCUGCUGUUUUAGAAAGACAUGAUCUCGGCCCCUCCCUUGUCCCCACUGGCACCAAAGGCUGACCCCUUCUCCAGGUCUGAAAGGGCAGGUGCACCCCUCCUGGGACAGCAGGGGGCAUUCUCUGGAAGUAGCUUCCAAUGCCCACCAAAUCAGAACUGAUUUCUCCAGGAAGCACCCCUAUGCGCUCCACCCGCAUCCUCCACCCCCAUUCCACAGGGUCAGUCUGGGUGUCCAAGACCCUGGUACUGUUCCUUCUCACAUGAAGAGGCUCACUCACCCAGGUCCAUGACGCUCUCUGGGCGGUAAAACCACACAGGAAGGCUGUGCCCGGCCUCGCACUACCCCUGUCUGGGGAGGAAGUGGUUCAAGCCCCUUUUAAGUUGUCGGAGAAGCCACCCUCUUCCCUGCCCCUCCCACCCUUGCUCCUCCCCCCA